UUGCUACUCCCUCCGGCCGGAAUUAUUUGUCAAAAUAUUACAUGUAUCUAGACGCAUUUUAAACAUAGAUACAUCCAUAUUAAGACAAAUUUGAGACAAGUAAUAUGGGUCGGAGGGAGUAAUAA
rfam:Brachypodium distachyon strain Bd21 chromosome 1, whole genome shotgun sequence.